AUGGCUUGUGCCGCUCCACCGUGCCCCCCGGCGACGUCGACCAGGGAGCCUAUCCCCUGGAAGACGGCGCCGCACUCCCUGAUGGCGAUGUCCAUGAGGAAGCUGCUGUCGGAGACCAUGCCGUCGUUGACGAGUGCGUUGUACGCCGGGUCGUGGUCGGCCAGCUCCCAGAAGGUCUUGCCGUGCUUCAGCUUGAAGAGGUCCGGCUCCGGCAGCUCGUGCUGGAACCAAGUCCCGAGGUCGGAGAACGGGGAGACGAGGUUGGUGUGGAGGAGCAUCUUCGUGAUGUGGACCAUGUUCACCGAGGCCGAGCAGACGAGGAGACGGGACGCCGGGGUCAGCGCGUAG
rnacentral:rRNA from 1 species